GGCUCACACUUGUAAUCCCAGCACUUUGUGAGGCUGAGACAGCAGAUCAUCUAGGUCAGGAGUUCAAGACCAGCCUGGCCAACAUGGUGAAACCCUGUCUCUUCUAAAAAUAAAAAAUUAGUUGGACGUGGUGGCACAUGCCUAUAAUCCCAGCAACUCAGGAGACUGAGGCAGGAGAAUCACUUGAACCUUGGAGGGGGAGGUUGCACUGAGUCGAAGUUGUGCCACUGCAGUCCAGGCUGGGCAACUGAGCAAGACUCUGUCUAAAAAUAAAUAAAUAAAAUAAAGAAGAAGUCCAUGUGAAGAUACAUUGAGAGGAGAAUGCCAUGUGACAGUGAGGCAGAAAGAGAGAUGCGACUGCAAGCUAAUGAAUGCCAAAGAUUUCUGGCAACUACCACAAACUAGGAAGAGUCAAGAAAGCAUUGUUUCCCAGAGCCUUCAGAGGGAGCAUGACCUGCUCACAACUCAGUUUUGGACUUCCAACCUCCAGAACUGUGAAUAAACAAAGUAAUGGUGCAGAGGAAAUAUUUGACAAGAUAAUGGCUGAGAAUUCUCCCAAAUUGAUAAAAGACACCAUUCCAUACAUUCAAGACCGGAUAUACAAGAAGAAUUCAAAACCAAGCAUUUCAUGUAAGAAUUCCGGAAAGCAAAACGCAAAAAAGAAAACAUCUAAAGUACUCUGAGGAAAAAGAUACCUUCCUUUCAAAUAAGUGGUAGUAAAUGUGGUAGCUAAUUUUCUCAUGGUGAGGGAGGAGGGAGAAAACUAGAGUUCAAUCGUUUAGAGUUUAAUAUGCUUAAAAAAAAACCCUAC
rnacentral:lncRNA from 1 species